ACGAACGCUGGCGGCGUGCUUAACCCAUGCAAGUCGAACGAAGAGCGAUGGGAGCUUGCUUCUAUCAAUCUUAGUGGCGAACGGGUGAGUAACGCGUAAUCAACCUGCCCUUCAGAGGGGGACAACAGUUGGAAACGACUGCUAAUACCGCAUACGAUCUAAACUCGGCAUCGAGGAUAGAUGAAAGGUGGCCUCUACAUGUAAGCUAUCACUGAAGGAGGGGAUUGCGUCUGAUUAGCUAGUUGGAGGGGUAACGGCCCACCAAGGCGAUGAUCAGUAGCCGGUCUGAGAGGAUGAACGGCCACAUUGGGACUGAGACACGGCCCAGACUCCUACGGGAGGCAGCAGUGGGGAAUCUUCCGCAAUGGACGAAAGUCUGACGGAGCAACGCCGCGUGAGUGAUGACGGCCUUCGGGUUGUAAAGCUCUGUUAAUCGGGACGAAAGGCCUUCUUGCGAAUAGUGAGAAGGAUUGACGGUACCGGAAGAGAAAGCCACGGCUAACUACGUG
rnacentral:rRNA from 1 species